rnacentral:rRNA from 1 species
UACGGGGGGGGCAAGCGUUGUUCGGAAUUACUGGGCGUAAAGGGCGCGUAGGCGGGCCGCCAAGUUCGAGGUGAAAUCCUCCGGCUCAACCGGAGAACUGCCUCGAAUACUGGAGGCCUCGAGGCGGGUAGGGGCAUGCGGAACUGUGGGUGGAGCGGUGAAAUGCGUUGAUAUCCACAGGAACUCCGGUGGCGAAGGCGGCAUGCUGGACCCGAUCUGACGCUGAGGCGCGAAAGCCAGGGGAGCAAACGGG